rnacentral:rRNA from 1 species
UACGGAAGGCAGCAGUGGGGAAUAUUGCACAAUGGGCGAAAGCCUGAUGCAGCUAUGCCGCGUGUAUGAAGAAGGCCUUAGGGUUGUAAAGUACUUUCAUCGGGGAGGAAAAAACAAAACUAAUAAUUUUAUUUCUUGACGUUACCCGAAAAAGAAGCACCGGCUAACUCCGUGCCAGCAGCCGCGGUAAUACGGAGGGUGCUAGCGUUAAUCAGAAUUACUGGGCGUAAAGAGCACGUAGGUGGUUUUUUUAAGUCAGAUGUGAAAUCCCUGGGCUUAACCUAGGAACUGCAUUUUGAAACUGAAAUACUAGAGUAUCGUAGAGGGAGGUGGAAUUCUAGGUGUAGCGGUGAAAUGCGUAGAUAUCUGGAGGAAUACCUGUGGCGAAAGCGGCCUCCUAAACGAAUACUGACACUGAGGUGCGAAAGCGUGGGGAGCAAACAGGGAUUAGAUACC